rnacentral:rRNA from 1 species
UGGUGUAGGGGUAAAAUCCGUAGAGAUCAGAAGGAUACCGAUGCGAAGGCGAUCUACUGGAACAUUACUGACGCUGAGAUGCGAAAGCGUGGGGAGCAAACAGGAUUAGAUACCCUGGUAGUCCACGCCCUAAACGAUGCACACUAGUUGUUGCUAUGCUAGACAUAGCAGUAAUGCAGUUAACACAGUAAGUGUGCCGCCUGGGGAGUACGGUCGCAAGAUUAAAACUCAAAGGAAUAGACGGGGACCCGCACAAGCGGUGGAGCAUGUGGUUUAAUUCGACGAUACGCGAAGAACCUUACCUGGCCUUGACAUAGUAAGAAUCUAAUAGAGAUAUAAGAGUGCUAGUUUACUAGAGCUUACAUACAGGUGCUGCACGGCUGUCGUCAGCUCGUGUCGUGAGAUGUUGGGUUAAGUCCCGCAACGAGCGCAACCCUCGUGUUUAGUUACUAACAGUUCGGCUGAGGACUCUAGACAGACUGCCUGGGUAACCAGGAGGAAGGUGAGGUCGACGUCAAGUCAUCAUGGCCCUUACGGCCAGGGCUACACACGUGCUACAAUGGGGUAUACAAAGAGCCGCGAUACCGUGAGGUGGAGCAAAUCUCAUAAAAUAUCUCCCAGUUCGGAUUGAAGUCUGCAACUCGACUUCAUGAAGUUGGAAUCGCUAGUAAUCGUAGAUCAGCAAUGCUACGGUGAAUACGUUCCCGGGUCUUGUACUCACCGCCCGUCACACCAUGGGAGUUGAUUUCAUUCGAAGCGGGGAUGCUAAAAUAGCUACCUUCCACAGUGGAAUUAGCGACUAGGGUGAAGUCGUAACAAGGUACC